AAAGGUGCUUGCAUCUUGAUUUAAUUUUGAACGAGUGGCGGACGGGUGAGUAACACGUGGGUAACCUGCCCUUAAGUGGGGGAUAACAUUUGGAAACAGAUGCUAAUACCGCAUAAAUCCAAGAACCGCAUGGUUCUUGGCUGAAAGAUGGCGUAAGCUAUCGCUUUUGGAUGGACCCGCGGCGUAUUAGCUAGUUGGUGAGGUAACGGCUCACCAAGGCAAUGAUACGUAGCCGAACUGAGAGGUUGAUCGGCCACAUUGGGACUGAGACACGGCCCAAACUCCUACGGGAGGCAGCAGUAGGGAAUCUUCCACAAUGGACGCAAGUCUGAUGGAGCAACGCCGCGUGAGUGAAGAAGGCUUUCGGGUCGUAAAACUCUGUUGUUGGAGAAGAAUGGUCGGCAGAGUAACUGUUGUCGGCGUGACGGUAUCCAACCAGAAAGCCACGGCUAACUACGUGCCAGCAGCCGCGGUAAUACGUAGGUGGCAAGCGUUAUCCGGAUUUAUUGGGCGUAAAGCGAGCGCAGGCGGUUUUUUAAGUCUGAUGUGAAAGCCCUCGGCUUAACCGAGGAAGUGCAUCGGAAACUGGGAAACUUGAGUGCAGAAGAGGACAGUGGAACUCCAUGUGUAGCGGUGAAAUGCGUAGAUAUAUGGAAGAACACCAGUGGCGAAGGCGGCUGUCUGGUCUGUAACUGACGCUGAGGCUCGAAAGCAUGGGUAGCGAACAGGAUUAGAUACCCUGGUAGUCCAUGCCGUAAACGAUGAAUGCUAGGUGUUGGAGGGUUUCCGCCCUUCAGUGCCGCAGCUAACGCAUUAAGCAUUCCGCCUGGGGAGUACGACCGCAAGGUUGAAACUCAAAGGAAUUGACGGGGGCCCGCACAAGCGGUGGAGCAUGUGGUUUAAUUCGAAGCAACGCGAAGAACCUUACCAGGUCUUGACAUCUUUUGAUCACCUGAGAGAUCAGGUUUCCCCUUCGGGGGCAAAAUGACAGGUGGUGCAUGGUUGUCGUCAGCUCGUGUCGUGAGAUGUUGGGUUAAGUCCCGCAACGAGCGCAACCCUUAUGACUAGUUGCCAGCAUUUAGUUGGGCACUCUAGUAAGACUGCCGGUGACAAACCGGAGGAAGGUGGGGAUGACGUCAAAUCAUCAUGCCCCUUAUGACCUGGGCUACACACGUGCUACAAUGGAUGGUACAACGAGUUGCGAGACCGCGAGGUCAAGCUAAUCUCUUAAAGCCAUUCUCAGUUCGGACUGUAGGCUGCAACUCGCCUACACGAAGUCGGAAUCGCUAGUAAUCGCGGAUCAGCACGCCGCGGUGAAUACGUUCCCGGGCCUUGUACACACCGCCCGUCACACCAUGAGAGUUUGUAACACCCGAAGCCGGUGGCGUAACCCUUUUA
rnacentral:rRNA from 1 species